CACGUAGUUAGCCGGCGCUUCAUCCCCGGCUACCGUCAACCCCACCACACGGACAGGGCCUUCACCACCGGAAACAGAGGUUCACAACCCGAAGGCCUCCAUCCCUCACGCGACGUCGCUGCAUCAGGCUUCCGCCCAUUGUGCAAUACCCCCCACUGCUGCCUCCCGCAGGAGUCUGGGCCGUAUCUCAGUCCCAGUGUGGCCGCCCACCCUCUCAGGCCGGCUACCCGUCACCGCCUUGGUAGGCCAUCACCCCACCAACAAGCUGAUAGGCCGCGAGCCCAUCCCCCGCCGAAACACCAAAAACAGUGAAUCUAUCCCGACCAGCCCAUGCGGACCAACCGGACCACCCCGUAUUAGCCGCCCUUUCAAGCGGUUAUCCAGGACCGAAGGGCAGGUUACUCACGUGAUACUCACCCGUUCGCCACUCAACCCACCCCAAAAACAAGAGCAGGCCCGUUCGACUUGCAUGUGUUAAGCACGCCGCCAGCGUUCGUCCUCGAGCCAGGAUCAAACUCUA
rnacentral:rRNA from 1 species